ACAGAGACACCGUUGGAGCUGCAACAGACUCUCUCUGUCUCUCCCUGGAGGAGGAUAUCUGCAUGAGCCACUCUCACGGAUUGCUGGAUAUCUGUCAGAACACCGCAGAUCACCUCGGUUCUGUAUUCCCUGUCAUCAAACUGGCCUCCGUCGGUCUUGGAGGCUGUGUUCGGUUCACCAUUGCCUGCUCGCCCAGCUCUGGUUCUGGUGCCCAUUCUGGACUCAGUCAGUUAAUAGGAUCGCUAAGUUAGCUGCAGGGCU